UCAGUUCAUCUAUUAUCUGGCAGCACAUGAGAUUGACGAGGUGGUGGGUGAUAACUUCUGAAACCGUAUUAAGGAUUUAAGAAAGACGUCUUUAUCGUUAGCUACUUAAGUUUUUUUUUUUUUUAAAUAACUGUUGUUUAAUUUUAAUGUGUUGUUGUUAAGUUAAUUAAGACUUAUUAUUCAUAAUAACUUAAUAACAAAUAAUGUCAUAUAAUUUAAUAUAUUACUCUGCUAUCUUUUAGAUUGCUCUACC
rnacentral:lncRNA from 1 species